rnacentral:rRNA from 1 species
UACGAAGGGGGCUAGCGUUGCUCGGAAUUACUGGGCGUAAAGGGCGCGUAGGCGGACAGUUUAGUCAGAGGUGAAAGCCCAGGGCUCAACCUUGGAAUUGCCUUUGAUACUGGCUGUCUUGAGUACGGGGAGAGGGGGGUGGAAUUCCGGGUGUAGUGGUGAAAUGCGUAGAGAUCCGGAGGAACACCAGUGGCGAAGGCGGCCCCCUGGGCCAUUCUUGACGCUGAGGCGCGAAAGCCGGAGGGAGCAAACGGGG